rnacentral:rRNA from 1 species
GGCGGCAUGCCUUACACAUGCAAGUCGAACGGUAACGGGCCGUCGGGUGCCGACGAGUGGCGAACGGGUGAGUAAUGCAUCGGAACGUACCUUUCAGUGGGGGAUAACGUAGCGAAAGUUACGCUAAUACCGCAUAUUCUGUGAGCAGGAAAGCAGGGGAUCGCAAGACCUUGCGCUGAUUGAGCGGCCGAUGUCAGAUUAGCUAGUUGGUGAGGUAAAGGCUCACCAAGGCGACGAUCUGUAGCGGGGUCUGAGAGGAUGAUCCGCCACACUGGAACUGAGACACGGUCCAGACUCCUACGGGAGGCAGCAGUGGGGAAUUUUGGACAAUGGGGGCAACCCUGAUCCAGCCAUGCCGCGUGAGUGAAGAAGGCCUUCGGGUUGUAAAGCUCUUUCGGCCGGGAAGAAAUCGCAUGGGUUAAUACCCUGUGCGGAUGACGGUACCGGCAUAAGAAGCACCGGCUAACUACGUG